CCAAAAUACUCAUGUCCGCCGACCUUUUUACCUCGGAUUCUUAUUCCCUUUACAUAUACACCGCUCCAGGUCCAGCAAAACCUCUCCAGGAAAAGAUUUGGGAGAGAUGUUCGGCUACUUCGGCCGGAAUCCGCAGGGCUCUCCGCCCACCUUCAAGAUCUUCUGCAAGGCUGAUGAGGGGUCCUGCCUCGCCGUCCGUGACGGCACCCUCGUCCUCACCGCCGCCGACCCCGGCGACGAGCACCAACACUGGGUGAAGGAUGUUCGCCUUAGCAUGCACAUCAAGGAUAAGGAGGGCAACCCCGUCUUCUCGCUCGUCAACAAGGCAACUGGCCUCGCCAUCCAACAUCCCUAUGGCCCUUCCUACCCGGUGAGGCUGACGCAAUUUUGCCCGGACGAUUUCGUCCAGUCGGUGUUGUGGACGGAGAGCGGCGACUUGUGCAAGGACUUCGGCUGCAUCCGCAUGAUGCAUAACAUCCGCCUCAACUUGGACGCCGUCCACGGGGGAACUGCUCUUGUACUCUCGGAUCCGGACAAGAGCGACUUCCAGAGCUGGAAGAUGACCCCCUGGAAUGGUGAGACGCCCUACGGCUGGCAUCCCGAGGCCGAGCCCACGGUACGCAUCUGCUGCAAGGCUGCAGAGGGCUUGAGCGUCACAAUCCGCAACGGCGCCGUCUGCCUCGCUCCAACCCGCCGCGACGACUGGUUCCAGCAUUGGGUUAAAGACAGACGGCCCGGAGAGAUGUUCAAGGACGAGGAUGGCUACCCCGCCUUUGCCCUCGUCAACAGCAUCACAGGCGAGGCCAUCUCGGGCUCCGCAGGCUUGGGCCCGAAAAGGACUAUAGCUCCCCACCCGCGCCGUCGGGAUGCGCUCGGAUGGGCAAAUUUUCCCGAUGGGGAGCGCAUUCAGCAUCGCCGAGCUUGCCGUGCUCCCAUGGUUCCCGGUGCCGCCGGGGAGAGGUACCGCUGACAUCGAGGAGGUCGCCGGUCGCCUGCCCCUUCGUAAGGGGCCGCGAGUCGAUGAGAGGCCGAGUGCUUUUUUGUCGGUCUGCUUUGCGUUGCUAUCUUUCUGAUAGAAGGGCAACACUAUAACUUCAUAUUGGAAAAAAAAGUAACGAUGAAGGUAACGGAAGCCAACGGAAUGGGUUGAGGCAUAGGAAAUUUGGAGGCAAAAUUCCUGUUCACCUGAUUUCGAAAUCAAACAUCCAUCAGACCUCUUUUUCUGUCACUAAUGUAGGACCAAGGAAAAACACAGAAAUCAUGGAAAGAAAUCAGAAAAAAAUGAAAGCAUAGAGAACAAAAGAUGAAAAGAGUGAUGUAGCAGAUGCGCACGGGCGAGGGGAAGGGAAGUGUCAAGUCUCAAUGGAGUACAAAAAGGAACAGAACAGAAACCUCUUCACUCGGGGAACAUGAUGGUGCCAGAUUGGCAGUAUUUUGCAUGGAGUACUGAAGACCUGCUGCUGCUUGAGCUUGCUAGCUGACUGCUGCUGCUCGAGCUUGCAAGCUGGCCGCUGCCCUCCUGUCAUUCCAAAUCGCAUGGCUAGCCUCUUGCACCUCUGUGCCGCACUGCCUGCCACCCCAUCCAUUGAUCUCACACUGCUGGCUGUGCACUCCCCUAACAUCGCUUGAUAUUACACAGUCAGUCGCUCACAUAAGUACCGAAGUGUAGCUCUAGGGAGAGAGAAGCUAGAUGGCUGAAAACGAUCUGGAUAGAGAUAGGAAAAGGAUAAAGAUCAAUGCUUUGCUGGUCCAUCUUCAAGUAACCUUAUUUGAAGAAAUCAUAAGAAAUAGAUUUGUUUUGUUUAACCAAGUUGAAGCUUAAGCCGUAUAACCCAAAUUACCUGGACGGGUCUGUGUUAUGGACGACGGACUUGGACAAAGGGAAUGGCUUCCGAUGCAUUCACAUGAUGGACAACUUCUCCCUCAACUUCGAGGCCCGCCUCAGUGCCGGGGAGGUCGUGCUGUCGCGUUGGGACACUGCAGACGAGCAGCACUGGAAGUUCAUCAGCUGGUAAAAGUACUGCGCUGGAGGCUGGAGCUGCAUUGGACCUUAUCUAGAGUAAGAGAUCAAUCUGCUGUCUGCUGCCGUGUCGAUAGAAGGAUGUUGCGUAUGAUUUGUGGUGAUAAUGCGUCUGUGUGUUAGUCCAGUUAUUAUGUGUCCUGAUUCUAUAAGACGAGUUUGGCCACCGGUUAGCUAUCUAAAUGAGCACCCUGCAUUUCAUCUGCUACACUUACGAAUAAUUAGAGCAGAUUGUGUGUAAUGUACUGGGAUCGUCUUAAGCGGUCAUCUAUCAGAAGUUCAACGUGGGCACCA